ACCCGCGGCGUAUUAGCUUGUUGGUAAGGUAACGGCCUACCAAGGCGAUGAUACGUAGCCGACCUGAGAGGGUAAUCGGCCACAUUGGGACUGAGACACGGCCCAAACUCCUACGGGAGGCAGCAGUAGGGAAUCUUCCACAAUGGACGAAAGUCUGAUGGAGCAACGCCGCGUGAGUGAUGAAGGGUUUCGGCUCGUAAAACUCUGUUGUUGGAGAAGAACAGGUGUCAGAGUAACUGUUGACAUCUUGACGGUAUCCAACCAGAAAGCCACGGCUAACUACGUGCCAGCAGCCGCGGUAAUACGUAGGUGGCAAGCGUUGUCCGGAUUUAUUGGGCGUAAAGCGAGCGCAGGCGGUUUUUUAGGUCUGAUGUGAAAGCCUUCGGCUUAACCGGAGAAGUGCAUCGGAAACCGGGAGACUUGAGUGCAGAAGAGGACAGUGGAACUCCAUGUGUAGCGGUGAAAUGCGUAGAUAUAUGGAAGAACACCAGUGGCGAAGGCGGCUGUCUGGUCUGUAACUGACGCUGAGGCUCGAAAGCAUGGGUAGCGAACAGGAUUAGAUACCCUGGUAGUCCAUGCCGUAAACGAUGAGUGCUAAGUGUUGGAGGGUUUCCGCCCUUCAGUGCUGCAGCUAACGCAUUAAGCACUCCGCCUGGGGAGUACGACCGCAAGGUUGAAACUCAAAGGAAUUGACGGGGGCCCGCACAAGCGGUGGAGCAUGUGGUUUAAUUCGAUGCUACGCGAAGAACCUUACCAGGUCUUGACAUCUUCUGCCAACCUAAGAGAUUAGGCGUUCCCUUCGGGGACAGAAUGACAGGUGGUGCAUGGUUGUCGUCAGCUCGUGUCGUGAGAUGUUGGGUUAAGUCCCGCAACGAGCGCAACCCUUAUUGUUAGUUGCCAGCAUUCAGUUGGGCACUCUAGCAAGACUGCCGGUGACAAACCGGAGGAAGGUGGGGAUGACGUCAAAUCAUCAUGCCCCUUAUGACCUGGGCUACACACGUGCUACAAUGGACGGUACAACGAGUCGCGAAACCGC
rnacentral:rRNA from 2 species